GUAAGAGCAGCACAUGUACUAAAAUUGGAAGGAGGAGAGAAGAUUAGCCUGGCCCCUGCAUGAGAAUGGCAUGCAAAUUCCUGAAGUGUUCCAUAUUUGU
rnacentral:snRNA from 2 species